rnacentral:rRNA from 1 species
UAGAUGCGAGAGUAGAGCAUAUCAAUAAGCGGAGGAAAAGAAACUAACAAGGAUUCCCUUAGUAACGGCGAGUGAAGCGGGAAGAGCUCAAAUUUGAAAUCUUCAAGGUUCUACCUUGACGAAUUGUAGUUUAAAGAAGUGUUUUCUGUUAGAUGAGUAGCAAAAGUUCCUUGGAAUGGGACAUCAUAGAGGGUGAGAAUCCCGUAUUUGGUUAUUCAUUCUAGCUUUGUGAUACACUUUCAAAGAGUCGGAUUGUUUGGGAAUGCAGUCCAAAAUGGGUGGUAAAUUUCAUCUAAAGCUAAAUAUUGGCGAGAGACCGAUAGCGAACAAGUACCGUGAGGGAAAGAUGAAAAGAACUUUGAAAAGAGAGUUAAACAGUACGUGAAAUUGUCAAAAGGGAAGCGUUUGACACCAGUGUUGUUUUUCCGAAAAUCAAUUACGAAUGGCUUGAUUUUGUGUUGUAUUGACCUUAUCAGCUUUCUUCACUUUUUUCGAGUCUUUCUUAAUGCACUUUUCGGUUAACAAGUCAACAUCAAUUUCUUUUGUUGUAAAAGAGUAUUCGGAAGGUGGCUUUCUUUUCGGAGAAAGUGUUUAUAGCCCUAUACUUCUACAAUCGGAGAGAUUGAGGUCUGCAGCGUAGAUCCUUCGGGGUUAGAUACACUUGUGCUAAGUUGUAGCUUUUCAUAGACAACUUGUUGACUAUGUUUAGUCAUGCGGCUUACUCGCUUAUGCUAUUUUACCUACGCUUAGGAUGUUGAGCGCAUGUCUCUCUCU